rnacentral:lncRNA from 1 species
AUUUUUUAUUACACUAGCUUGAUAUUGUUCUUAAAUUUUCAUAGUCUACCUAUCUGUUUUUUAUAUGUUAAUUAUGUUUUUGAAUUGAUAACUACAACAUCUAUUUUGUUAACUUAUUAUAAGAGCCUAAGUAUGCAUGUAGUGUACAUUUAUAUCUCCCCAAUGUUUUUGCUGCUACAAGUUUAGUUCUCCCUACUUGCAAAUUUUACGGAGGUGUUGUGCCUUAGCCGUUUUCAAUCAGUUUGUAAUUGAACUAGGGGGUAGAUGCUACGUUUAACUUUUCUAAUUAUGUAGACAUGCUAUUUGUACUAUUUUUUUUCAUAUGUUGCUCUUAACCAACAAUUGCAAGUUUAGAUUUAUGUAUAUGCAAGUUUAGUUCGUAUGAAGAAAUUUUUUAAUCUCUGAUUUUAGGGUGGUUUUCUGCUCUACUUGUAGUUCGACAACUUGUAUUACAAACAGGCGCAAUUUUACUUCUUAUGAUUAAAUUUUCAAUUUCUGCCUUUAGGUGGGUGUUCUGCCUUUCUUGUAGUUCAACAUUUUUUGUACAAGUACAAACAUGUUAUUUUUUAGUGUAGUAUGAAUUUGUAUUGUUCAAUUCUCUGAAUUUCUGACAGCAAAUGUACAUUCAAGUGUUCACGCUAUUUUUUUCUAUUUCUGGUUACAUCAUUUUUUUGCUGGGCACUAAAGAGAUAGAAUAUAACUUUUCUAAUUAUGUGUUGUUGUUGAACAACUACUACAAGUUUAGUUCUCCCUACUUGCAAAAUUUACCGAGGUGUUCUGCCUUAGCUGUUUUCAAACAUUUUGUAAUUGAACUAGGGGGGUAGAUGUUACGUUUAACUUUUCUAAUUAUGUAGACAUGCUAUUUGCACUAUUUUUUUAUGUUGCUCUUGACCAACAAUUGCAAGUUCAGAUUUAUGUAUAUGCAAGUUUAGUUCAUAUGAAGAAAUUUUUUAAAUUCUGAUUUUAGGGUGGUGUUCUGCUCUACUUAUUCAACAACUUGUAUUACAAACAGGCGCAAUUUUACUUCUUAUGAUUAAACUUUCAAUUUCUGCCUUUAGGUGGGUGUUCUGCUUUUCUUGUAGUUCAACAUCUUUUAGUACAAGUACAAACAUGUUGUUUUUAGUCAUAAGUUAUAGUAUGAAUUUGUAUUGUUCAAUUGUU